GCAGAAAUGAUUGCACUAUAGUUCCUUCAAAGAACAAUGGCAUUAUGAACUUUAUAGUAAAAUUGAAGUACAAAAAUAUUCCAUCAAUGCUGAUUUCAAUGGUAACACCCAAACCUAAAAAUGCACAAAUACGCGCCAGACAACCCUUGCUACAACGAGGGCGCAGUAGCACUUGCAGAGGCAAGGAUCCAAUGAACAACAACAACAAUUAUCAAGUGAAGAAGCAUCUCUCCAACAGAUAAGAUCUGCCAGCAAAUUAGGACCACGACCCAUGAAACUCUUGUUAGCUGGCACACAAUCACGAAAUCAUAGAAGCUCCGGGUUGUUGAUAAUCCAAAGAAAUAGAAAUCAAAGGCUUGGAUUAAUCCAAGGCGACAACAUAUCUCAUAACAAAAGAAACAGAGAAAGAGUUGAGAAAAGAA
rnacentral:misc_RNA from 1 species